rnacentral:rRNA from 1 species
UACAGAGGGGGCAAGCGUUAUUCGGAAUUAUUGGGCGUAAAGGGCGCGUAGGCGGCUUUUCAAGUGACGGGUGAAAUCCCUCGGCUUAACCGAGGAACUGCCUGUCAGACUGGAAGGCUUGAGACCGGGAGAGGUGAGUGGAAUUCCCAGUGUAGCGGUGAAAUGCGUAGAUAUUGGGAGGAACACCAGUGGCGAAGGCGGCUCACUGGACCGGAACUGACGCUGAGGCGCGAAAGCGUGGGGAGCAACAGG